rnacentral:rRNA from 1 species
CCCCAGACUCCUACGGGAGGCAGCAGUGGGGAAUAUUGCACAAUGGGGGGAACCCUGAUGCAGCGACGCCGCGUGAAGGAUGAAGUAUUUCGGUACGUAAACUUCUAUCAGCAGGGAAGAAAAUGACGGUACCUGACUAAGAAGCCCCGGCUAACUACGUGCCAGCAGCCGCGGUCAUACGUAGGAUCCGAGCAUUAUCCGGAGUGACUGGGUGUAAAGAGUUGCGUAGGUGGCAUAAUAAGUAGCUAGUGAAAUCUGGUGGCUCAACCAUUCAGACUAUUAGCUAAACUGUUAAGCUCGAGACCGUUAGGGGUAACUGGAAUUUCUAGUGUAGGAGUGAAAUCCGUAGAUAUUAGAAGGAACACCAAUAGCGUAGGCAGGUUGCUGGGACGGUUCUGACACUAAGGCACGAAAGCGUAGGGAGCAAACGGGAUUAGAUACCCGAGUAC